rnacentral:rRNA from 1 species
CCUACGGGUGGCAGCAGUGAGGAAUAUUGGUCAAUGGUCGGGAGACUGAACCAGCCAAGCCGCGUGAGGGAUGAAGGUACAGAGUAUCGUAAACCUCUUUUGUCAGGGAACAAAGGCGGGCACGCGUCCCCGGAUGAGUGUACCUGAAGAAAAAGCAUCGGCUAACUCCGUGCCAGCAGCCGCGGUAAUACGGAGGAUGCGAGCGUUAUCCGGAUUUAUUGGGUUUAAAGGGUGCGUAGGCGGUCUAUUAAGUCAGCGGUAAAAGCCUGGAGCUCAACCCCGGCCAGCCGUUGAAACUGGUGGUCUCGAGUGGGAGAGAAGUAUGCGGAAUGCGCGGUGUAGCGGUGAAAUGCAUAGAUAUCACGCAGAACUCCGAUUGCGAAGGCAGCAUGCCGGCUCCACACUGACGCUGAGGCACGAAAGCGUGGGUAUCGAACAGGAUUAGAUACCCUAGUAGUC